CACGUAGGCACCAAGCGUUGUCCGGAUUUAUUGGGCGUAAAGAGCUCGUAGGCGGUUGAGUAAGUCGGGUGUGAAAACUCUGGGCUUAACCCAGAGCCGCCACUCGAUACUGCUCUGACUUGAGUUCGGUAGGGGAGCAGGGAAUUCCUAGUGUAGCGGUGAAAUGCGCAGAUAUUAGGAGGAACACCGGUGGCGAAGGCGCUGCUCUGGGCCGAAACUGACGCUGAGGAGCGAAAGCGUGGGUAGCAAA
rnacentral:rRNA from 1 species